GCCCUCUCAGGGUCACACUUGGAGAGUUUCCAGUCCUCUGCCAAUCAUGACUACAGAAGGAAGAGUCAAGCAGAGGCCUGUCCAUUCCAUUCCUAGCUUGGUCAGUGGCUAGCGAGUGGCAAGCAAUCUGCUACAAGU